rnacentral:lncRNA from 1 species
UGUCCUAGGUAUGUGUGGAGCCAGAAAAAUUUAGUCAUGGAAAGGAUGCAUCAGACAUGAAUUAGGAUUUUUAUCGAUGGAUUUGUUUAACUACAAUUCGUUGGUCUAAUGUGAUUAGAAUUAAUGACUAUAGAUUAAAUCAAAUUCAUAGUUCUAAUUUAAUUAGAAGUUAUGUUUAAUUUAGGUUAAUCAAAUUAUCA